GAUGAACGCUGGCGGCGUGCCUAAUACAUGCAAGUAGAACGCUGAAGGAGGAGCUUGCUCUUCUGGAUGAGUUGCGAACGGGUGAGUAACGCGUAGGUAACCUGCCUGGUAGCGGGGGAUAACUAUUGGAAACGAUAGCUAAUACCGCAUAACAGUAGAUGUUGCAUGACAUUUGCUUAAAAGGUGCAAUUGCACCACUACCAGAUGGACCUGCGUUGUAUUAGCUAGUUGGUGGGGUAACGGCUCACCAAGGCGACGAUACAUAGCCGACCUGAGAGGGUGAUCGGCCACACUGGGACUGAGACACGGCCCAGACUCCUACGGGAGGCAGCAGUAGGGAAUCUUCGGCAAUGGACGGAAGUCUGACCGAGCAACGCCGCGUGAGUGAAGAAGGUUUUCGGAUCGUAAAGCUCUGUUGUAAGAGAAGAACGAGUGUGAGAGUGGAAAGUUCACACUGUGACGGUAUCUUACCAGAAAGGGACGGCUAACUACGUG
rnacentral:rRNA from 1 species